rnacentral:rRNA from 1 species
UAGGGAAUAUUGGUAAUCUGGGAAACCGGGAACCAGCAACGCCGCGUGUGCGAUGAAGGCCUUCGGGUUGUAAAGCACUUUUUGGAAGGAUUAGGAAGGAAUGUACUUCCAGAAUAAGUCUCGGCUAACUACGUGCCAGCAGCCGCGGUAACACGUAGGAGGCAAACGUUAUCCGGAUUUACUGGGCGUAAAGCGCGUGUAGGUGGUUCUGUAGGUAGGGCGUGAAAGCUCCUGGCUCAACUGGGAGAGGCCGUUCUAAACUACAGAACUAGAGGGUGGUAGAGGGAGGUGGAAUUCCAGGUGUAGCGGUGGAAUGCGCAGAUAUCUGGAGGAACACCAGUGGCGAAGGCGGCCUCCUGGACCAUUCCUGACACUCAGACGCGAAAGCUAGGGUAGCAAACG